rnacentral:misc_RNA from 1 species
AACGCACCUUGCGCUCCUUGGUACUCCGAGGAGCAUGCCUGUUUGAGUGUCAUUAAAUUCUCAACCUCACCAGUUUUGUAACGAGACUGUGUGAAGUUGGAUGUGGGGGUUUGUGCAGGCUGCCUCAGUGCGGUCUGCUCCCCUGAAAUGCAUUAGCGAGUUCAAACUGGGCUCCGUCUAUUGGUGUGAUAAUUAUCUACGCCGUGGAUUGGGCUUAGACUUGCUUCUAACCGUCCGCAAGGACAAUCUUUUGACAAUUUGACCUCAAAUCAGGUAGGACUACCCGCUGAACUUAA